rnacentral:rRNA from 1 species
GACGUAGAGGGCCAGCGUUGUUCGGAAUUACUGGGUGUAAAGGGUUCGUAGGCGGUGUGGCAAGUCGGGAGUGAAAUCUCUGGGCUCAACCCAGAGACUGCUUCCGAAACUGCUGUGCUUGAGUGUGAGAGAGGCUCGUGGAAUUGCAGGUGUAGCGGUGAAAUGCGUAGAUAUCUGCAGGAACACCCGUGGCGAAAGCGGCGAGCUGGAUCACUACUGACGCUGAGGAACGAAAGCUAGGGGAGCAAACAGG